CCUUGAGGUGUAAAUGGAGGUCACUUAGGAGGAGGGGACAAUAGGGAUUUGCUCUCAAUGGGUACAAAGUGCCAGUUAAGCAACAUGAUUUCCUGAAACAAAGUAGUUAUAUAGCAUUCAUCAUAUGCACCAAAUACAUGAGUUUUCAAGCAACAUAAUGGAUUACUAAAACUGAAAUAAAUUAAAAAAAUCCUAUCAGAGGACUUCAUUGUAUGUGAAUCUAUUGGAAACGUUGUCAACUAACUGAC